AGGGUAAGGCUCAUCUAUUGCACUUUGGAUGUGCUGACCCCUAUGAUUUCCCCAAAUGUGGAAAAAUCA
ensembl:snRNA U1 U1 spliceosomal RNA